AACGAACGCUGGCAGCGUGCCUAACACAUGCAAGUCGAACGUGAUUAGAGAGCUUGCUCUCUAUGAAAGUGGCGCACGGGUGAGUAACGUGUAGAUAAUCUACCUGAUGAUUCGGGAUAACACUUCGAAAGGGGUGCUAAUACCGAAUAAGCCCACGGAGUCCUUGGACUCUGCGGGAAAAGGGGGGGACCUUCGGGCCUUCCGUCAUCAGAUGAGUCUGCGUACCAUUAGCUAGUUGGUAGGGUAAAGGCCUACCAAGGCGACGAUGGUUAGCUGGUCUGAGAGGAUGAUCAGCCACACUGGAACUGAGACACGGUCCAGACUCCUACGGGAGGCAGCAGUGGGGAAUUUUGCGCAAUGGGGGAAACCCUGACGCAGCAACGCCGCGAGAGUGAUGAAGGCCCUUGGGUCGUAAAGCUCUGACAGAGGGAAAGAAAUGCAGGGGAGCUAAUAUCUCCCUUGCUUGACGGUACCCUCAAAGGAAGCACCGGCUAACUCCGUGCCAGCCGCCGCGGUAAAAC
rnacentral:rRNA from 1 species